CCGGAUGCUUAACCGAUUGAGCCACCCAGGUACCCCUACCACAAUUAAAAAAAAAAAAAUCCUUUGGGGAUUCCCAGCUGGCUCGGUCGAUAAGCAUGUGACUCUUGGGCUCAGCGUCCUGAGCUCAGUCUCCACAUUGGGUGUGGAGCCUGCUGAAAAAUAAACAAAUAAGGAAGUCCAUCUGUCCUUUGGUGUCCCCGCCACUGGAAAUUUCUCACUGGAAUUCAUGCCAGGCUGUGGCUCCUGCCAUCUUGUUUUGUGCCCCCACCCACUUCAUUUCAUUUCUCUGACCUUGCCUGUCUUCUCUCUUCUUGGGGUCCCUUUUCCCUAAGCUCCCAUUAUGACGCUGGUAAAGCCGUUGAGUCCCUCGCGUAUUUAUUUAACCGCGUCCCUUCAACCAUGUCCCGGGCACCGCCCUCCCCUUCCUCGACCAAAGUGGCUCAUCAAGAUGUUUUCCUAAACAAAACUGUUCUCACCCUGCUAAAUGCAUUGAAAACAUGCCAUCUGCUGUAUACGCGGGUCUCCUGAGAAAUUGAGGAGUCCAAGCCCGCAGCUGAGACUCAGAGCUCCUCUCCACCAGCUGCCAGGCCGAGGCUAGACCCCGGGGUCCCAGGAGUGAAUUUGUCAGCGUAAAGGCCGCUUCGGGCAGCCUCUUGGCAGCCUGCCGACAGCCCCUUCCCGCGCCACCCCGUCUGUCUGAGCGCCACGUAGACCAAGCCUCAGAUGUGCGGGCCCGAGGAGAAAACGGAGGAUGACAGCCAGGACCGCUCGCCAAGCCGAGAUGAGAAAAAUUAAACACGGAAAGAAAACGUCUGAGCUGGGGUCUGAACCACCGAGCGCAGCCAAGCAUGGGUCCGGAAUCUGGUCUCCUAACCACCACUCCAUGCUGCCACCACUAUAGGGCUCCGCUCCCUUGAAAAAUUCCACCUGCUAUAGCUAACCUCUGUUUGACACAAGAGAAACUGAAGCCCGUCCAGGUUUCACCAUGCCUCAGUGAGGCCCUGGAGCCUCGCCAGCUCCAGGAAGCCCCCUCUGAUUACUCCAGAGUGAGGAAAAGGAUCUAGUCGGCCCCAUAUACGGUUAUAUCCCCAGCGCCUAAUACUAUGCCUGGCACAAGUGGGGGCUCAAGAGCAAGAGGGAAGUUUUGGACGAUGGCGUCUUCCUCGGACGGUCCCAGGAGUGUGGCUGUUUUGAAAAAUCAGGCGUUCCUGCCAGAGGCGCUUCAGGCUUUCAACAGCCCUCUUAGGAAUGGAAGACAGCCCCUGAAUAGAAAUAAAGGAAGGGGAAGAGUGCUUAUGAAGUGCGUGAUCGGUGUUUUCAGGCGGAUCACUCAGGGGGACGUCCCGCAGCGCUCCUCUCUCUUUCUCAGGAUCCCAGCGAUUAACGUCACAAGCCCUUCCCGGAGACCGUGCAGCGAGACGCUGGAGGAGAACCGAGAAGUGAGACGUCAGUGAGUCAGAACUCAUUCAAAGCCCCGGAGUUUCCCGGCCGUUACCUUCCACGCCUGGACCUGUGAGUCAGGGUCAUCUCGCCCCCGUUGUGUGUGGUGCCUACAUGCCUCCCUGCCCUGCUCUUCCGGGGGCCCCAUCCCAGCCCUCACGCGUGCACACACACCGGCCCCGGCCGGCCGCGCGUCCCCUGCCGCGUGUCCUGGCGAGGGUGCGGGUGCAGGCGCGCCCGGCUUAUUCACUCACCCCCGGGGGGUGUGCACGGGCCCCUUGGGUGCUGAGCUCAGGCUCUGCACGGCCAGAGACGAACCGAAAAAAGAAAAAUAAAUAUUAGUACUUCCUUUCCCAUAAAUGUUGCAACAGUCUAGCUGUAGCUUAGAGCGUAUAUUUUUUUAAGUCCAUUUAUUUGUUUGGGGGGGUGGGAGGGGCAGAGCAGGAGAGAGAAAGAAUCCUAAGCAGGCUCCAUGCUCAGUGUGGAGCCC